rnacentral:rRNA from 1 species
AGUGAACGCUGGCGGUAGGCCUAACACAUGCAAGUCGAACGGCAGCACAGUAAGAGCUUGCUCUUACGGGUGGCGAGUGGCGGACGGGUGAGGAAUACAUCGGAAUCUACUUUUUCGUGGGGGAUAACGUAGGGAAACUUACGCUAAUACCGCAUACGACCUACGGGUGAAAGCAGUGGAUCUUCGGACCUUGCGCGAUUGAAUGAGACGAUGUCGGAUUAGCUAGUUGGCGGGGUAAAGGCCCACCAAGGCGACGAUCCGUAGCUGGUCUGAGAGGAUGAUCAGCCACACUGGAACUGAGACACGGUCCAGACUCCUACGGGAGGCAGCAGUGGGGAAUAUUGCACAAUGGGCGCAAGCCUGAUCCAGCCAUACCGCGUGAGUGAAGAAGGCCUUCGGGUUGUAAAGCCCUUUUGUUGGGAAAGAAAAGCAGCAGGUUAAUACCCCGCUGUUCUGACGGUACCCAAAGAAUAAGCACCGGCUAACUUCGUG